rnacentral:lncRNA from 1 species
GGGGAGGUGGAACAGAGCUGGGAGACCUGGUCCAACCAGGGAGGAAGUGGGCCAGGCUUUGGGCUGGAGGACAGGAAGCCUUGGCCAUGCAGGCAGGGGCGCGGAGCUGUGCUGACAGCUGGCACUGCUUUACAACUCCGGGAAGGGAAGCCCUCAGGGACUUUGUGCCCCAGUGCCUGCUGUGGAGAAGAGGCACAGAGGUGUUGUGAUUCCUCUCUGGGGAACAACCUCCUACUUUUUUGCCUGCACAUAUUCUGGCCUCUGUACAGUGGCCUCAGAUCACCAUCCUUGGAGUGUGUCAUCUGAGCAGCCAGGACAUGUACUGGGAGGCUGUUUGGCAGGUGUAGGGACUGCAGAGAGAUGAGGAGGUCAGGCUGUCCCCACAGCCCUUACUGGAAGCUCCCACGGAAAUGUCUCUGUGACUCAGCUCAGACGUCACAUCCUCCUGGGAGCAUCCUGAUCCAGUGCCCACAGAUGCCAAGGGAACGUGCAGCCUCCGUCUCUCUGUGUGAAAAAUGAAAGGAGUUUGAUAUGGGAAUUUAUUUCACCUCCAAUGCCCCCAGAGCCAGGCACAGUGGAACAAUCCAGUCAUCCCAGCAUUUGGGAGGCUGAGUCAGGAAGAUCACAAUUUGCAACCCAUGCUGAGUUACACAGUAAGACCCAGUCUUCAGAAAAGAAGAUAGACUAAAGAAAGCCUCUGGGAUUCCAAUGAGGAUUUUCCUAUGGUGAUUUCACCCUUCUCUCUAGUCCGUGAGCUCCUUAAAAGUGAGAGACUAUUUCUUUUCCCAUACCCAGUGACCAGUUCAGGGCUUGGUAAUUUAGACAUACAAUAAUGCAUUUGUGAUGUAUGGCUGGAGGGCUGGGUAGAGAGGACAGACUCAGUGGAUAGUGAAGUCUGUUCUUCUUGCUCAACAUCACAUGGAAACCCGGCAUGGUGGUGCACGCCUGUAAUCCCAGCA